UAUUUGAGUAGUAUUAGUUAUGUUCUUGAAACUUAAAAAAUUUGGCGGUAUUUUAGUCUAUUCAGAGGAACCUGUCCUAUAAUCGAUAAUCCACGAUGGACCUUACUUAAGUUUGUAAUCAGUUUAUAUACCGUCGUUAUCAGAAUAUUUUAUAAGAAUAAUAAUUUUCUAUAAAUUUAAUUAAAUUUUAUAUCAGAUCAAGGUGUAGCUUAUAUUUAAGUAGAGAUGGGUUACAAUAAAAAUAUUUAUAUGGAUAUAAAAAUGAAAUAUUUAUUGAAAGUGGAUUUGAUAGUAAAAUUAUAAAGAUUAAUAAUUUGAUUUUAGCUCUAAAAUAUGCACACAUCGCCCGUCGCUCUUAUUAUUAAGAUAAGAUAAGUCGUAACAUAGUAGAUGUACUGGAAAGUGUCUCUAGAAUGACAGUUUAAAGCUUAUUUAGUAAAGUAUUUCAUUUACAUUGAAAGGAUUUUUGUGCAAAUCAAUAUAAAUUGAGUAAUAUUUAUUUAUUAAUUUUUUUUUUAAUAGUUUAAAUUAUUAAAAAUAAUUAUAAAUUUAAUUGUUUUAGUAUUUUAUAAAGAAUAAAUAAAUUUAAUAAUAGUUAAUUAGUAUUGUGAAAGAAUAUUGAAAUAAAUUGAAAAA
rnacentral:rRNA from 1 species